rnacentral:miRNA from 1 species
GAAUUCCUUCUCCUCUCCUUU